rnacentral:rRNA from 1 species
UUGGUUAAGUUAGAAAGGGCGCACGGUGGAUGCCUUGGCACUAGGAGCCGAAGAAGGACGGGACUAACACCGAUAUGCUUUGGGGAGCUGUACGUAAGCGUUGAUCCAGAGAUUUCCGAAUGGGGGAACCCACUAUCUUUAGUCGGAUAGUAUCCUUACGUGAAUACAUAGCGUGAGGAAGGCAGACCCAGGGAACUGAAACAUCUAAGUACCUGGAGGAAGAGAAAGAAAAAUCGAUUUCCUGAGUAGCGGCGAGCGAAACGGAAAGAGCCCAAACCAAGAAGCUUGCUUCUUGGGGUUGUAGGACACUCUAUACGGAGUUACAAAAGAAAGUUAUAAAUGAAGCGGUCUGGAAAGGCCCGCCAAAGACGGUAACAGCCCGGUAGUUGAAAUGGCUUUCCCUCCAGAGUGGAUCCUGAGUACGGCGGAACACGUGAAAUUCCGUCGGAAUCCGGGAGGACCAUCUCCCAAGGCUAAAUACUCCCUAGUGACCGAUAGUGAACCAGUACCGUGAGGGAAAGGUGAAAAGCACCCCGGAAGGGGAGUGAAACAGUUCCUGAAACCGUGUGCCUACAAGUAGUUAGAGCCCGUUAAUGGGUGAUAGCGUGCCUUUUGUAGAAUGAACCGGCGAGUUACGAUUUGUUGCAAGGUUAAGCGGAAAAAGCGGAGCCGUAGCGAAAGCGAGUCUGAAUAGGGCGCAUAAGUAACAGGUCGUAGACCCGAAACCAGGUGAUCUACCCAUGUCCAGGAUGAAGGUAAGGUAAUACUUACUGGAGGUCCGAACCCACGCACGUUGAAAAGUGCGGGGAUGAGGUGUGGGUAGCGGAGAAAUUCCAAUCGAA